rnacentral:rRNA from 1 species
CCUCGGCGGCAGCAGUGGGGAAUAUUGGACAAUGGGCGAAAGCCUGAUCCAGCCAUGCCGCGUGUGUGAAGAAGGCCUUCGGGUUGUAAAGCACUUUCAGUGGGGAAGAAAGCCUUGGGGCUAAUACCCUCGAGGAAGGACAUCACCCACAGAAGAAGCACCGGCUAACUCCGUGCCAGCAGCCGCGGUAAUACGGAGGGUGCGAGCGUUAAUCGGAAUUACUGGGCGUAAAGCGCGCGUAGGCGGUCUGAUAAGCCGGUUGUGAAAGCCCCGGGCUCAACCUGGGAACGGCAUCCGGAACUGUCAGGCUAGAGUGCAGGAGAGGAAGGUAGAAUUCCCGGUGUAGCGGUGAAAUGCGUAGAGAUCGGGAGGAAUACCAGUGGCGAAGGCGGCCUUCUGGACUGACACUGACGCUGAGGUGCGAAAGCGUGGGUAGCAAACAGGAUUAGAUACCCUAGUAGUC